UACGGGAGGCAGCAGUGGGGAAUAUUGCACAAUGGGCGCAAGCCUGAUGCAGCCAUGCCGCGUGUAUGAAAAAGGCCUUCGGGUUGUAAAGUACUUUCAGUCGUGAGGAAGGUGUUAAGGUUAAUAACCUUAGCAAUUGACGUUAGCGACAGAAGAAGCACCGGCUAACUCCGUGCCAGCAGCCGCGGUAAUACGGAGGGUGCGAGCGUUAAUCGGAAUUACUGGGCGUAAAGGGCACGCAGGCGGUUAAUUAAGUUGGAUGUGAAAUCCCCGGGCUUAACCUGGGAAUGGCAUUCAAGCUGGUUAGCUAGAGUCUUGUAGAGGGGGUAGAAUUCCAUGUGUAGCGGUGAAAUGCGUAGAGAUGUGGAGGAAUACCGGUGGGCGAAGGCGGCCCCUGGGACAAAGACUGACGCUCAUGUGCGAAAGCGUGGGGAGCAAACAGGGAUUAGAUACC
rnacentral:rRNA from 1 species